rnacentral:rRNA from 1 species
AACUCGCCUGCACGAAGUCGGAAUUGCUAGUAAUCGUAGGUCAGCAUACUACGGUGAAUACGUUCCCGGGCCUGUACACACCGCCCGUCACACCAUGAGAGUUGGGGAUACCCAAAGCCCGUGAGCCAACUUAUAAAGAGGCAGCGGUCUAAGGUAGAAUCAAUGAUUGGGGUGAAGUCGUAACAAGGUACC